AGGAUCAUAGAGAUGAGAAAAAAGAGUAGGCUCUGUUGUCCCUCAGACUGCGCUGCUGCAGUGCGUCUUCGCACUUACGCGGAGCGGUUGGGUGAGGAAUCCUCCGGCCAAGCGGAGGAGGGGAGGGAUCAGAGAGAGAAGCGGCUUUGGGGAAGGAAAGUGUGGUCUAGGAGGUGAAAUAGUCCUCUCCAAACUUUGACCGGAGGUGUGACUACUGCUUUGCUGAGUCAUUUCAAAGUUACCUGCGGACAUCCUGAUACUGCAGCCCUCAAUACUUCAAAUGUCCCCUAUUUGGAUCUGGAUUACACAAGUUUGACAUUUUUUGGCAAAAAUCUUACCUAGGUAGCGUGUCCUUCUCAGUGCAUCACAUCAGGCAGCUUAUGGUGCCAAUUUGUCCCAUGCCUCGAGGUCUUUAGGAAAAGCGUGACUCUGGAGCAGAGCCCUGGAGCCCUGGUGGCAGGUGGAUGAAUCUGCUCCCCACCUGGAUGCUGCUAGUCCUUUCUCCAGGCUCCGUGACUGAAAAGUUUUACUUGGCAAAAGCUACUUCUGCUCAGAACUCUAGAAAUCAGAUCUUGGCCCACCCCUUUCAGUCUGAGUUCAAAUCUCUCCUCCCCUGGCAAUGUUUGGUGUUCCCUGGACCAUCUUGGAGAGCUGAGAACCCUAAAAGCAGCACCAGCCUGCUCACCAGGGGGCAGCACUCGCACCAUGAGGUUGUUCACUGGGCUCAUCAAGAUCUAUCCGGCGAGGGUUGUUUUCAAAGGAUUGGGAAGAAUCGCUUCGGUCCUCCUUUGGAAUUUGUUCUUAAGUCUUCUUCCCUUCAUCGCUCCUGUUAGAUGCUCCACAGCAAGUGAAGAAAUGAGGAAACUGAUUUCUUUUCCCACAUUAAAGCAAUGUUAAUAAAAUGGUCAUGG